CAGCAGCCACGGUAAUACGAAGGGUGCAAGCGUUAAUCGGAAUUACUGGGCGUAAAGCGUGCGUAGGCGGUUUGUUAAGUCUGUUGUGAAAUCCCCGGGCUCAACCUGGGAAUGGCAAUGGAUACUGGCAAGCUAGAGUGUGUCAGAGGAUGGUGGAAUUCCCGGUGUAGCGGUGAAAUGCGUAGAGAUCGGGAGGAACAUCAGUGGCGAAGGCGGCCAUCUGGGACAACACUGACGCUGAGGCACGAAAGCGUGGGGGGCAAACAGGAUUAGAUACCCGGGUAGUCCCUGUCUCUUAUAC
rnacentral:rRNA from 1 species